AAAUAUAUAUAUAUAUAUAUAUACUCAUGUUUCAAAAAUCACAAUUAAAUCAAGUUCUCAAUCGAAAAGCAGACUGGACUUGGUUGAGCCUUAAGGAGGUAGCAAAAGCGAGUUGCCAUGCAUCCCACAUCCAAUCAAGACACUCAAAAAACUAAACCCAUCAAAACGCACUCAAGGGCUGAACUGCUCAACCAUGACCCCAAAAAAUUAAAUGAAAUAGGAUGAUAAACGAAGCCAAUCGGGUAUUGGAUAAAACUUUCAAGAAAAUAUUAGAGAAAUAAGGAAACAGAAACAGUUACAAAACCUGAAAGAUACACCACAAAAUCAAAAUCUGAAGAAAGACCGAGCAAAAAAACUCUCCCCCCUUUUGUUUCCACGACUAAACAUUUAUUUGUUUUGAAUAAGUUUCAGAGAGAAGUUAUGAAAGUUAAUAUUACCAUUUUCGUGUGUCAACCACAUUAGAACUACCAUAGCUACAUGUUUCGUCAGUGUGUGUAUUUCCAUGAACGUAGAUGCCUGUGUGUGUGGUCACUAACUCCCAAUCCCAACGCAGACAUUCAAAAGAUAUUCACUGCUCAUCUAGAAAUAAAUUUACUAGUAUCUUCCAAAAUGCAUAUGGACACAGUCUCAAGCAAUCUGAAGCAAAUAAAAUUGGCAAUUUUCUAACAGAAGCACACCAUAGUCUCUACUAAUUGCCCCAUAAUUAUCAAAAAACACAAUUCAUUUUCAUCCUAACGAAGGCGUCCAUUCAUAGAUUUGUGUAAUUCUUGUAACUGCAACGCUGUUGUAUCAUCCCUCAUUAUCAUAACCUCCCCAGUUUGCGCAAAUCCUGCAUAACUGCAUUAUUUAACGUUUGCCGCGAUGCCCGCCACCUGACCUCGCACCAGGAUAGCGAGCAAAUUGCAACCUUAAAUGGACCGAGUCACGGUCAUGCUCGUCAAAUUUAUAACCUGCAAAAUCCAGCUCGACUAUUUACGCCGCACAACUGACUGCGCUUUGCACGCCGAAUUAGGGAGCAGAUAGAGCAUAUAAAACGUUCAAAUUAUCUACCGCAAGUUCACACUCGACAUUUACCAAAUGUUCAUCAUUACUUUUGAAACGCACUAAGUCGUAAAUGUCGAGCCACCAAUUAUACCUGAUUGAAAAAGGCAUUGCAAAAGAGGAAUGGACAAUAUAGCUUUUCUGCUUCCUAAGGUAACUUACCAACAACCUUUGUUUCUGCCCAUGCAUGAUAGAGGGAGAAAUUAGCUAGCCCCUUUGCUUAACAUGGCAGAAGGAGAUCAGAAAAUGAUGAGGCUAAAGAAUAAGAUAACAGCAAGAUUUAGAUUCCAGCUAAACCCUCGACUGAACAUAUAAUCGGACAGACCCCAAAUAUUUUAAGUAGCAUGCCUGACUAGUUCUUUAUGAUCCAUUGAAUCCAAGUACACACACACAAGAGAGAGAAAGAGAGAGUAUCCCACCAACAACAUCCAUCAACCACCUGCAUUCUUAACAAGAUGUAUUGCUAACAAUCUUGUUAUUAGUUAAUUAUUUAGUGUGACCCCCACGCUCUGGCGUUUUAGGUAAGAAUUGAAUCUCAAAGCCAGCUAACAUUACCAAAGGUCUUUAAUAGCACAAAAUUCAGCCUAGUUGUAGGCAUUAAACCACCACUAAAGCUGCUAUACAACACAACAAAUAACCUCCACCCAGUGCAGAAAGCAAUAAACAACCAGAAAGAGAAACGAUGGAUAUGCAAAAUUACAAUACCUAUAAGGGGUAAAAACAGUAAAGUAUGUUAAGCUCACCUUGCAAGGCAUCCAUUGCAGUGGCAGCAUGGGCAGGACUCAAAAAGUCAACAAAACAAAGUACUAGUGGAUCUCCCCCCGGGCGUCUUGAUUCCUUGCUCACAAGUCUCACUUCUUUGUAGCCAACAAAAGGGCGAAAGAUAUGUGACACCUCCCGUCGCGUACAAUCAGAUGGCAAGCCCUCUACAAACAGUGUACUGGUAGCAUCAGGAGGCAGUGGGGCCUCAGGUCUGCCACUUCCCAAUCCCAUUGUCCUGUCUUUUACAGUAGCCCCUGGGUCCAGUCUCCCAAUACCUACAACACGCGAAUCAUCAACAGGACGACUAGGCACUCCACUUAUUGGUCUAGCAGACUGUCCUCCACUGUAGGCCGACAUAGGCGUGCCACGAAGGUAUCGAUCAUAGGAUACUCCGAUGGAAUCUGAAUCUCUAACUGCACGGAGAGCCGCUCUGUCAUCAUCACGGGGAUAAUAAUUGGGCAGCUCAUGGCCACUAGGGACAUCAUAGUCUGAGCGAGGACGUUUUCCAACGAGAGUAGGAAUGGCCUGCUGUUGCUGCUGCCGUGCUUCGCUGUAUCUCCAAUACGCAUCGGCCAUAGCUUGAUGAGAAGUUUUGAGAGAGAGACAGAGAGAGAGAGAGCACCGAGAGGAAGUUGCUAUGGCUGCUAGGAGGAUAUCUAGUUUGCUCUCUCGUUCCUUCACUUCUGGUUCUGUUUCUGCUCUGUUUUCAGGAGGGAGGAAUUCUAGCCUUGGUAGAGGAAUCAGCAGAUAUAACAGUACCACUGCAGCUGCUACUGCUGCUGAGGGACCAAUAAUUCCUUCUGUAGCUGUGAAUUAUACUCAACUUUUAAUUAAUGGGCAGUUCGUUGAUGCGGCCUCAGGGAAGACUUUUCCAACAUAUGAUCCUAGGACUGGGGAAGUGAUCGCCCAUGUUGCUGAAGGUGAUCUUGACGAUAUAAAUCGAGCAGUCUCUGCUGCUCGCAAGGCAUUUGAUGAAGGACCAUGGCCAAAGAUGACUGCUUAUGAAAGGUCAAGGAUUAUGUUACGCUUUGCUGAUUUAAUUGAUAAGCAUAAUGAUGAAAUUGCAACACUCGAGACUUGGGAUAAUGGGAAACCAUAUGAGCAGGCUGCUAAAAUCGAAGUACCAAUGGUUGCACGUCUAUUUCGAUACUAUGCUGGUUGGGCGGAUAAGAUUCAUGGUCUUGUAGUUCCAGCUGAUGGGCAGCAUCAUGUGCAAACCUUGCAUGAACCAAUUGGUGUUGCAGGUCAGAUUAUUCCAUGGAAUUUUCCUCUUCUCAUGUUUGCUUGGAAGGUCGGACCAGCAUUAGCGUGUGGCAACACUGUCGUCAUCAAGACAGCAGAGCAGACACCAUUAACUGCUCUCUAUGCUGCUAAGCUACUUCAUGAGGCUGGACUUCCAGAAGGUGUUCUGAAUGUGAUUUCUGGCUUUGGUCCAACUGCUGGUGCAGCUCU
rnacentral:misc_RNA from 1 species